GAUGAACGCUGGCGGCAUGCCUAUACAUGCAAGUCGAACGGUUUAGGCCAGAAGGGAAAGUGCUUGCACAGGACUGGAAGGAAUCACUAAACAGUGGCGGACGGGUGAGUAACACGUAAGUAAUCUACCUAAUAGACCGAGACAACUACUGGAAACGGUAGCUAAUAUUGGAUAACUAUACUAAUUGCAUGAUAAGUAUAUAAAAGGUUGGGGUACAAUGCUAUUAGAUGAGCUUGCGGUGCAUUAGCUAGUUGGAGAGGUAAGGGCUCCCCAAGGCGACGAUGCAUAGCCGGACUGAGAGGUUGAACGGCCACAUUGGGACUGAGACACGGCCCAAACACCUACGGGUGGCAGCAGUAGGGAAUCUUCGGCAAUGGACGCAAGUCUGACCGAGCAACGCCGCGUGAGUGAAGAAGGUUUUCGGAUCGUAAAGCUCUGUUGUUAGAGAAGAACAAGUGGAAAAGUAACUAAUCACACCAUGACGGUAUCUAACCAGAAAGCCACGGCUAACUACGUGCCAGCAGCCGCAGUAACA
rnacentral:rRNA from 1 species